CACAGAACUUCACACAGCACAACGGCAGAUACAAUUUAUCCAAAGAUGUUGAUGUCAUGUCUCCGAAAUGCCUAGCACCCGACAACUUUAUUAAACUCGAUCAUUAAGUAAUAUGCAACAUUUUUCUAGAACAGCACGUGAUGAUGAGGCAUGUAAACAAAACACAGCUGUCAGAUCAAGCCUCUGCAAAUGCAUUACUUAGCUAGCUUGUUAGCUAGUUAGUUAAGUUAUCUAGUUAAUACUCACCUAUUUGCCCAAUCCAUAUGACAUGAUGGACAGUAAAUUUACUGUUCUAAUUCAUAUUUUUGUUUGUGGCAGCUAGGUAUAGAGCUUCAACCCCAGAUAGAUGGAGAAAGCAACAUCAUGACUGAAGAUGAGAGAGGACUGGAGCAUGAGGAUAUCAGCCACAUGAAACUCAACAGGGGACAGUCAGCUCCUUCGCAGGCUGUGAGAGGGACAGUCCACUUUUGAUAAAAGUUGUGUUUCACCUACUGACAACAACAACACGGUCACAACCAGGUUUAAAAACAAUGACCUCAACACAGAGAACACCAUCACUGACACACACUAAUCCUGGUGGAGACACAGACACUAUGGCUGUUCCUGGUUCAGAUAUGACGGUUAGGAAACCAGUUGGGUCCAAUACAGAGAUGGCCUGUGAGGCUGAUCCAAGUGCAGCCAGGAGUCAGCUGACCAGACAGGAGGAUGAGGCAUGGCAUUUUCACCUUCUCUCCGUUCUGGCAUGACUGCCAGCCUUAUAGAAAGCCACUGGGCUGGGAGAUAGUGGUGAGGCAGAGGGAAAGUGGGAAGACUGCAGGCAAAAUGGACAUCUAUAUAACAAGUCCCCAGGGACAGAGGUUCCGUCCAGAGUGUCUCAUCAAGCCUUCCUCCUAAAGAUGGCGGAGGGGAUCUACAGAUAGACAACUUUGACGUCACAACAGCCAGGAGUAGCAGUGCAGCUGUGACCCCACAGCCCAGCCAGGAGAGACAAAGGAAUGGUCAUCAGGAACACACACGUCACACCUAAGAGGUCACUGAUGACAGGCAAAACACAUACAGGCAGGACAUAGACGGACAGGACACGGAGGAAAAUAUGGAAGAGGAGGGUUGAAUAUUACGCUUUCCUCCAAAUAACACAAAAAUAGCCUCUUUUGCAAAAUCCUACAAGCAGAGAACUCAGAGUUAGAGGAAAAGGCACUUUGUCAACUCAGUAUACCCCCGACAGACCUCCCUUGGCCAGGUGAAUCACAGACAGGCAGCUGGGAGAGAUACAGAAACUGGCCACACAUCAGACACCAAUGAGGACAUUAACGAGAGAAACAUACAAACCUCUGUGAGAAGGGGUGAUGAUGAUGGUGAUGACAAUGAGACUGAGAGGCAUCUGCAGGCUGUGUCGGCGGAGCCAGUUGAUGAUGUCGUACUUGAGAAGAGCCCCCAGAGGAGGCCAGGGCUGCUGAGAGAGAAGCUGGUCAGGCUGGCACCGCCCACUGAGCUACAGGACACUCAUUGGUCAAGGAGAGUGGCUUCAUGUGUCACCUUAAGAUGUCCCAGUCCUUAGGGUGCAGUCUGCUUCUGAGAGGGGGAGGCUGAGGGUGAGAGAGUGGGGGAGGGAAAGUGCGUGGUGGAUAUAGAGGCAGAGGUAUAUGAUGAAGCGCUGCUAUCAUCUCCCCAGACUACUGGAGGACGCUGUACACCACUAAAAGAUCCCCAGAGCAGUAUGUAUGUGCAUUGUGCAAUGAGUUAUGAUGCAUAAUGUUAAUUUACAAUGAUGCCUAGAUAGAGAAAAUGUUUUACGUCUUCUUGGACCUGGUUUCAGUGUAUUGACCAAUAACAUGUUCAAUGUGUGUAGUGAUGCCUUAGGUGCCUGUUGUUCCUGUUCUGCACAGAACUAUUAGGAGAGAAACAGAAGACCAGUCCUUCUUUCAGCAGGAAGUAACUGAGAGAUGGUCAUAAUUUAAUAAAUGGUUGAGCUUAACAGAACUUGCCAUUCUUGGAGAGAAAUGUCAGUUUAAUAAAAAACAAUGUUUAUUUGUUAUCAAAACCCCUUUUUCUUAGAUCUGCCGUCAGUCCCGGCACAGGUUUGAGACCCCCAAGAGGAAGUGGACCACUCUUCGCUCCCCCUUCCAGCUGGUGCAGGAGACUCUGUUCCAUGACCUCUGGAAGCUCCUGGUGGACACCAUCUUCCUCAACAAGACCAGGUGAAACCUUAGGACCAUAAACUGAACAAGUACCAUGCCUGGUUGUGGGAGAACCAUGGGAGGUUGGGAAUCUGAACUAUGAGGAACUGCAAUGUCACAUUUUAUCACAACCUGUUUUAUUAAUGGAAGAAUAUUCUAGUUAUUAUUUCAUUAGGCUUAUAACCUGGCGAACAUACCGGUAUCUCUCUUGGAAAUAAUCCAGAGAUUAGGCUACUACUGAUCCCAUCUACUCUCAAGACUCAGUAGUAACAAAGCAACUGUCACUCAACAUGAUUGUAUUACAUAAACUGUUUAAUCUAGUUUUAAAAGCCUAUUGACACAUUUCUAUUGAAUUGGACUUUGAUGUUGAGCCUCUGGAAAUGCAACUGAUAAAUCAAUCAAAUGUAUUUAUAAAGCCCUUUUU